rnacentral:lncRNA from 1 species
CAGGGGAUCAAAUACUUUUUUCCCACACUGUACUCAACCCGUAGCACUGUAACCCAAAGAAGUUUUGCUUUGACUGCAACGCAAACUGUAUUGCUUAGCGAUUAAAUAUAUAUUUUUAAAAUUGCCACUGGAAGUUUCCUGUACAAUGUGGGCAAUGCGGAACGAUUUGGCAAGAUUCCAAGCGUCAUUGGUUCUAUAGAUGGGACACAUCCUCAUUCAAAGACCCUCUGGACCAGAUGAGGGAGAUUACGUGAAUAGAAAAUCUUUUCACAGCAUAAACAGAUCUGCGACUCCCAUGGGGUUACAACUGAACAUAGUACACAUUGUUUCCCGUGUUGUCCUGAAAAUUAUUAUUCAUCCUACAUAGGCUAUGGAAUGGGCAUACCAUUGCAACUGUGACAGGCUACUACAAUUUACACACAGUAUUUAUCCAGAGCCUUGACAUGUAAU